CACAGAGGAGGGGUCAGGGUCCUCCUUGCUGUGGCACAAGAGGUGUGUGCACAGACCAAGAGCCCUGUGUCGGCCGCACCUGCCGUCGGGGGCACCCGCUGGCGAUGAAGGACCGACGCCCACUGCUGACGUUGGUCUUGCUCUGUCUCUUCUCUGUGUGAGUGAAGCGUCGUUCCAUCUGGUGCUGGACUGUGUUGUGUCUUCCUUGGCGACUCCAACACCAAGACGCAGUGGGCACAGUGUUUGCUCUCGUAGCCUUGGUGGCUGGCGCUGUGAUGACCUUGGCUCUCCUCCAUGGAGCUGCAGUCCGUUCCUGGCCUUGGUUCCUGCAGCAUGGAGGAGAGCCAGCUUGACAGAGAGAGCUGUCCCUUUUCUUCUAAUCGGGAUUCCUAUCAUGGUAGACCGCCAGAGCUGUUUGAAUAAAGACAGGAGAUACUCCAGCCGUGACUCCACUGAUCCGAGUUAUGCCAAAGACAGAAGCGAACGUGAUGGCUCUCUGCUGUCCUGGCUAAUGGGGCUGCCUCCUCUCCUUGGAGAGGAGCUCCAAGCCUUGGCUGGACUACCAUCAGCCGGCUGCUUGCCUACAACCCUGCUCAGGGGCUGUGCUGUGCAUAAUUUUGCUCUGGCUGACCUGCUGCAGAACCAAGACCUGAGAUGCCAAACAAUAAACCUGCUGCCUGCAAGGACCAUCGCGGGAAAAAUUCCUCCUUGGGUGUGGGCACCUUACAGAAGGGACAUCACGCAGUGACACUGUAUGUGUUAGGGGUGGAGUUGGGUGGGGGAUAAAACGUCCUUAAAUCUUCCUGCCCCGGCACUGUGCUUCUGUUGGGGCUGGGGAGCUGGCAGGGAAAGAGAAGAGAGCUAUGCAGGGGGAGGAGAGGAUGAGGAGGGAAGAGGAGCCCGGCUUUCUGCCUGUCUCUGCCUUCAUGGCGUCUCUCACACAACCACUGCUGUUUGUAGUGUUGAUGAAAAUAAUCCAUAAUCAAUCUAUAAAUGAACAUUUGGGUGAGUUUAUUCUGAGCUGAAAUCUGAGGACCAUGGCCCAGGACCUUUCUUCCCGAAGGAAGAAAGGGCACCAAAGAAGUGGGGUGCACAGAGUGGUUAUAUACCCCCAAACACGAUGUUUCACAUAUGAUUGAAAUGUCCCUUUUAUAAUAGUCGCGAGACUGCUCUGUCGGCACAGCGAUUGAUGGAAACAGCUGGUAGGUCUGCUGUCUCGGUGAACACAGCAGGGUGGCAGUUCUGUUGUCUGGAGCUGACUGGUCACAGGUGAUCUGGGUGGUCAAAGGAGAGCACAGCAGUCAGUUCCUAGCCUAAGGAAAGAUGCUUAUCCCUAAGGAAAUGCCAAUGUGGGGGGAAGCUGCACCUUUCUCUUAAGGCCGUUUGUUCUUGCCAUAGUAAAUGUUUUAAAGCAGAUAUACAAUGCUGUGCUCAAUGGCCACAGUCAGGCCCUUUUGGAAAAAACAAAGUCAGGCCAAAUUAGGUUUAUACCAAAUGGCUUCCUCAUAUACUCCAAUAUAUCUUAUUGCUUGCCAUUUCAAUUUGUUAGUAGCCAGGCCAGGCAGGGGCAGCAGAGG
ensembl:lncRNA